rnacentral:rRNA from 1 species
UACGUAGGGGGCAAGCGUUGUCCGGAAUUAUUGGGCGUAAAGAGCGUGUAGGCGGCCAGAUAAGUCCGCUGUGAAAUCUCGAGGCUCAACUUCGAGCUGUCGGUGGAAACUAUCUGGCUAGAGUCAGGUAGGGGAGAACGGAAUUCCUGGUGUAGCGGUGAAAUGCGCAGAUAUCAGGAGGAACACCGGUGGCGAAGGCGGUUCUCUGGGCCUGUACUGACGCUGGAGGAACGAAAGCGUGGGGAGCGAACAGG